rnacentral:misc_RNA from 1 species
GAAACCUCCACAACCUGUUUUCAAUGGGAGUAGAAGGCAUAAAUAUUAAAGGUUAUGCAUCAUAAAAAUUCAAAAUUUGACACCACUAUAGUAUGGAGGUUUCUACAAGUUGUCACAUCUUCCAUUAUCAUUCUUCUACACAACUAUUACCCACUCCAAACUGAACCCCUAGCACUUAUUAGUUAUUGGUCUCCAAGUAAGAUUGAUAUGAUUAAUGUUAGAAUCUUGGACUAUGAAAAAGCAGUAAAAUGGAUAGUUGAUAGAAAUUAUUUAAUACUUGAGCAGCACUGGCUUCCCAAAUUAGUACAACUGGGCCUGGAAUCUAGUUUUUGGCUUACAUUAUAAACGGCAUCUCAUGGUUACUGUGCCAUCAUGUGGACCAACCUGACCAUCUAAAAUGUUUCUUUAAUUUAGACAUUUGGCUCUGACAUUUUUCAAGUAAACAAACUUUAUCAUUGAGUGACUUUCACAAUUCUUUAUGAGAUGCCGAAGUGGAGUAUGUACACAUAAAAAGUAAAUGCACAAUGACACAUGAGUGAGAUAGUUCCCAUUGUAUGGAAGUUUCCACAGGGCUACAAUUUCACACCUCCAUCCAACAUGACACAUGGUUGUGCUUUGUGAUAGAUGCUAACAAGGACAUCCAGAAGGGUAAAUAAUGCCAAACACUUAAAAAAAGUACAUUAACCAUGAUUAUAUAUCCAUGUCAUUUGGUCAGUUCUCUAAUGCGAAACCACGAAACACAGAUGUUAGGAGUCUCUAAUGCAACAACAGCUAUUUAAAAAACUAAUAAAAGAAACCCAAAAUCAACAAAUACUGAUGAAAGGCAUCACACAAGUGGACCAAGUGAAGCUCAAAACUGGGAUUUUAAGCUGCUAAUUUCAGAAUCCGAUGUCCUGAUACAAAAUUACAAUAGGAGAUCCAAAAUGUUAUCUAUAGCUAUAGAAUAAUACAUCUCAGGAUACAGCAUCAACCCCAACCACAACUUUUCUCUUAGACCCACGAAAAUAUAGAUUUACCCAGCAAUCUAAAAGAGGUAAAAACAAAAUCCACAUAGACCUUACAACUUUUUUU